GGCACGAAGAAAGCCGAACUUUCCGGCACCGGAUCAGUCUAUCGUUGCGGUCGCGGGCCGCCCGCAUCCGCUACUACUGAGCAGGGAUGCCGGUCGAUGACCCAGGACGACAACGACCAGGAGCUCGUCCGACGGGUGCAGGCAGGCGAUCAGUCGGCCUUUAAUUUGCUCGUGCUGAAAUACCAGCAUCGAGUGCUGAAGCUGGUCGGCCGGUUCGUUCACGA
rnacentral:misc_RNA from 1 species